GGAGUUGUGGAGAAGGGAAAGGAGAGGAAGGAGGAGAGGAGGUGGAGAGCUUGGGAGUUUGGCUAAUUUGAGGGGCUUUUCAGUCGAUUUAAGAGUGAAAAUGAGGAGAAAGGACUCAGAAUUUACUUCUUUGAGCAAUUAUGAUAUGGCAAUGCCUCAUUGCUUAUUGAUUUUGAGAUGAUGAUAAUAUGCUGGAUUUCAGACUUUGGAGUUGUCUAUUAUAGCUUUUCUAGAACCAUAUCUCAGUUUAGCAACCGGUCAUUUCAUUUUCAAGGAACUAGACAGUGUGGACUGUCUCUGCCUGAGAAUUUGUCAGCUAUAGACCAACAGGAUUAAAAAAAAGGUGUGAGAAGUCAGUAUUCAAAGUGCAAUGGGUUUGCCACACGUGGACUCGGAAAUAACUGAAGUUACAACAUCAGUAAACACAUUUGUAUCGUCUCCUCCUUUUUAUGGCGAUGAGGAAAGUUGUGAUUUUGAUGAGAUUGGAGGAAGCACUAAUAGUAGAACCCUCGCAGAUUUUCCAAGUGCAUCCAUUCGAGAUUUUCAAAGGAAAACCACCUUUCAAUUUCCCAGAGGGUUAGAUGGUCUGAAUAGAUGCAAAAGUAUCAAAGAUGGAGCUGGUAACCUUCAUUGCCCUUUAAUCGAGGCAAGGGAUGAAAUUUGCUUGUCCUCAUCUAAAGUGGGACGGUGUGUUCAAAGUCCAAUACCUAGGAUUGUUGGCUUUGAAUCAGGUUGCCUUGGUUCACUGGAUGAUGUUCCAGAGAACAGUUUGGAGGAUGGAGUUCAUCCUGCAACAUCCCUCACAAUGCCUGAUAAUUUCACCAACUCUAAUGGUCAUCAAGCAAGAAAACGCUUGUUAUCUCCAUUGAGCAGCAUGCUAAGUCACCAUUUCCGUGGUGAGCCAUUAAACAUUGGAAGUGGCAACACGCAAAUUGAUCUCCGGAACUUGAUUAAAACAGAGAGUAUCACUAAUUCGCAUGAUUGUAAGAAAGCUAACGUAGGAAGCAGUGAUUUCUCUAAAGCUUCAAUCAGUGUGACUAGUAAAUGCUCGCAACUGACUAGUUUGUUGGCUAGCAAAUGUGAUACGUAUGCCGGUGGUGUUUUCACUGAUGGCCCCUUGCUUGAUAAUAAUGGAUCCUUUGUUCGUGAUUAUCAGAUAUCUGGACGUGUAGAUUACUCUAAAGAAGGAAGUGAACUACAAGCUUUUAUGAGGACAAUAUCUGUAUCUCCAAGAAAAGUCUAUGCACGAUCACUAUCCAUGUCACCUCUAGGUCCUAGGUUGCCUGAAAGAAUAAAAGCUGCUGAAUUUCAAAGAGACAUCUUGAAAGACAUGGCAAAUGACUUUUCAACCUUGAUUGACAUUGAUAGAUCAGCUGAUCAUGGUGUUGCUGGAAAUCUUUUUGCAUCAGAGGAAGAUGCAUGUAGCACAAGUUGUGACUUUGAUAAUUUCAUCUAUCAGGGGAGUUCCAGUUUUACCCAAGCAUCUUUUCUUGAUUCUGCCAUCAAACCUCGGUGUGACAAGUUUGUUAGGAGUUUGAGUGGGCUUCCUGUUCGGAGGUCAUUGGUUGGUUCCUUUGAAGAGUCUCUCUUGACUGGUCGAUUCUCAUCCGGCAACGUCAAUCAGAGGAUUGACGGAUUUCUAGCUGUACUAAAUGUCACCGGUGGUAAUUUUUCACCACCAUCUCAGAAGCUUCCUUUUAGUGUGACAAGUGUUGAUGGAGAUAACUACUUGCUGUACUAUGCAUCAAUUGAUCUUGCUGGGAGCUUACCAUCCAUUAAGUGUAAAGGCCUAAAGUUGAGGAGAAGUCUGAGCAACAAUGAUUCUCGAGCAGCCAGAAGUCGCUUGCGCAUACCCAUGAAAGGGCGCAUACAACUGAGAUGCAAUUUUGGAGUGGGUUGUUCUCAAGAACCAAAAUCAAGGAAGAUUAGGCAAAACAGUGAUCACUUGUUGAAGUGUGUGCUGAUUCUUGCUAACGCAACCAACUUUUAAAGCUGAUUAUUACCUGUGGAGAAACUGUAGUUUAGUGUGGAAAUAUGAUGCUGUUGGCUCUAGCACUGUGCAUCAAAAGUAAGUAAAAUAUUGCCAUUAAUUUCUGUGACUUGAUUCUCGGCCAUUCCUUUUUCUUCUUUAUUGCUUUUGACAUUUCUAACCACAGUAGUCCAGCAUGUGCAUAAUUAUCGGUGUGCAUAUGUCUUCUGAAUAAUGUUAGACCAGAAUUAUGAUUUGUAAAUAGAGUCUGUAUCCUCAAUCAAAAGAUCAUCAUAGACUCAAUUCAAUUCUGGUAUGUGAUUGGUUUCUCAUUCUGGCAAAAGGCAAAAAAUUAGAACCAUUUCAUAUGUUCUAACUUGUUUUAGUUCUAUCAAUUGCAUUUGACGGAAAGGUUUUCUAACUGUCGAAAUGAUUUAUCUUUAGUGGUUCAUCAGUCUUCUCACAUCUUAGUUUUAACUUAUUUAAAGUUAAAUUGUCUAUAGCUGAGAUUUUUCUGACAUUCUUGAGGUCUUGUUAGAUAUGCAUGUUUAUUUGGUUACUGUUGAUAUUUACAGUUAAACAGAUUACUGUGUUUUAUAUACAUUGCUGAUUGUCAAGCAUUAUUUAUCAUGUCUAUUUCUUCAAAUUUAAUUUUGUUUCUCGAUAAAAUCCGAAAAACUUGUUCUUGUUCCUCCUCUGAUUUUCAUCUUUUGACAGGUUGUGAGCAAUCCAGAAAUGACUCCUCUUCACACUUUCUUUUGCAACUAUGAUUUAAGCGACAUGCCUACUGGAACCAAGACAUUCAUACGACAAAGGGUCACUUUAGCAUCCACUGGUUCUAUGACAACAACUACAAGUAAAGGAAG